AGAGUUUGAUCCUGGCUCAGAUUGAACGCUGGCGGCAGGCCUAACACAUGCAAGUCGAGCGGUAGAGAGGUGCUUGCACCUCUUGAGAGCGGCGGACGGGUGAGUAAUACCUAGGAAUCUGCCUGGUAGUGGGGGAUAACGUUCGGAAACGGACGCUAAUACCGCAUACGUCCUACGGGAGAAAGCAGGGGACCUUCGGGCCUUGCGCUAUCAGAUGAGCCUAGGUCGGAUUAGCUAGUUGGUGAGGUAAUGGCUCACCAAGGCUACGAUCCGUAACUGGUCUGAGAGGAUGAUCAGUCACACUGGAACUGAGACACGGUCCAGACUCCUACGGGAGGCAGCAGUGGGGAAUAUUGGACAAUGGGCGAAAGCCUGAUCCAGCCAUGCCGCGUGUGUGAAGAAGGUCUUCGGAUUGUAAAGCACUUUAAGUUGGGAGGAAGGGCAUUAACCUAAUACGUUAGUGCUUUGACGUUACCGACAGAAUAAGCACCGGCUAACUCUGUGCCAGCAGCCGCGGU
rnacentral:rRNA from 1 species